AUUCAUACCUUUCUCGGCCUUUUGGCUAAGAUCAAGUGUAGUAUCUGUUCUUAUCAGUUUAAUAUCUGAUAUGUGGGCCAUCGGCCCACACGAUAUUAACUCUAUUUUUUAAGGGAGAAAGCCCGUUAAGAUAGCUUGCUAUCUGGGCUUUCACGAGUCGCCCAUGCGUUGCACUACUGCAUGGGCCUGGCUCAACCCGCCAAUUUGAAAGCCCAAUAUUGUUCUUUGUUUCAUAUUUUUAUUUAAUCAUUGUUAAAUACUUACUUUGCGUCGAUACUUAUCAUUAACCACUCUUUAGGUGCCACGUGUGGAAUAUGUCCCUCCUCAAUCAAAUUCAAAGGUGAAAUUUUUACACGGCGCCGUCUCCUUGAUCUCGCCGUGGACCGUCGUCAUUGAUCACAAUUUAGUGAUUCUCUUGGAGCGGUUUUAGAUGAUGAAUUGAUUUGCUUUUGUUAUGUUUAUGUGGCGCUUGUUCGUUUUGUGUUUAGGA